GCAUGGGUGGUUCAGUGGUAGAAUUCUCACCUGCCACGUAGGAGGGCUGGGUUUGAUUCCCAGCCCAUGCA
rfam:Loxodonta africana unplaced genomic scaffold scaffold_7, whole genome shotgun sequence.